rnacentral:rRNA from 1 species
AAAGGAAUAGACGGGGGCCCGCACAAGCGGUGGAGCAUGUGGUUCAAUUCGAAGCAACGCGCAGAACCUUACCAGCCCUUGACAUCCCGGUCGCGAGUACCAGAGAUGGAACUCUUCAGUUAGGCUGGACCGGAGACAGGUGCUGCAUGGCUGUCGUCAGCUCGUGUCGUGAGAUGUUGGGUUAAGUCCCGCAACGAGCGCAACCCUCGCCCUUAGUUGCCAUCAUUUAGUUGGGCACUCUAAGGGGACUGCCGGUGAUAAGCCGCGAGGAAGGUGGGGAUGACGUCAAGUCCUCAUGGCCCUUACGGGCUGGGCUACACACGUGCUACAAUGGCGGUGACAAUGGGAUGCAAUGGGGAAACCCUGCGCAAAUCUCAAAAAGCCGUCUCAGUUCGGAUUGUGCUCUGCAACUCGAGCACAUGAAGUUGGAAUCGCUAGUAAUCGCAGAUCAGCACGCUGCGGUGAAUACGUUCCCGGGCCUUGUACACACCGCCCGU